rnacentral:lncRNA from 1 species
CCAUGUCAGCUUAUACAAGCCAGCAGUUUGUUUACCAAGAUCCAGUGGCUUCUUCAGAGAAGGGCCCUGUAGCAUGUUGAGGAAACAUGAAUGUUCAGUGAACAUGACUAUACAAUGUAAUUCCUUUACCAACUUAUGGAAAGAAAUUAAGUUGUGUGUGAAAGAAGGAAUUAACAGUACAUUGUGAAGAAUAAUGGAAGAAGUCAAUUGGAAGGAGCCUGUGCAUGUUACUUUUACUUUGUAUCCAUUAGGAAGAGUCACAAGAUAAGGAACAGAUAAAGGUGUAAGGUUAAAAA